GUUAAUGUGUACCGGAGGAUCAGAUGGAGUUUUGAAAUUUUGGGAAUUUGAAACAAAAAGGAUUUCUUUGAAUAAAAAAAUAUUAAUAAAAGAUCAGAUUUUAGGAGUCAAAAUUAUUUCAUCUAAAAACCUU
rnacentral:ribozyme from 1 species